rnacentral:rRNA from 1 species
UACGAAGGGGGCUAGCGUUGUUCGGAAUCACUGGGCGUAAAGCGCACGCAGGCGGAUUGAUAAGUCAGGGGUGAAAUCCCGGGGCUCAACCUCGGAAUUGCCUUUGAUACUGUCUAUCUUCGAGUUCGGGAGAGGUGAGUGGAACUGCGAGUGUAGAGGUGAAAUUCGUAGAUAUUCGCAAGAACACCAGUGGCGAAGGCGGCUCACUGGCCCGAUACUGACGCUGAGGCACGAAAGCGUGGGGAGCAAACAG